rnacentral:piRNA from 1 species
UAGACCAUGUAAGUCAGUGCUUCCUGUACAA